UACGUAGGGGGCAAGCGUUGUCCGGAAUCAUUGGGCGUAAAGAGCGUGUAGGCGGCCAGAUAAGUCCGCUGUGAAAUCUCGAGGCUCAACUUCGAGCUGUCGGUGGAAACUGUCUGGCUAGAGUCCGGAGGAGGAGAAUGGAAUUCCUGGUGUAGCGGUGAAAUGCGCAGAUAUCAGGAAGAACACCCGUGGCGAAGGCGGUUCUCUGGGACGGUACUGACGCUGAGACGCGAAAGCGUGGGGAGCGAACAGG
rnacentral:rRNA from 1 species